rnacentral:rRNA from 1 species
UACGUAGGGUGCGAGCGUUGUCCGGAAUUAUUGGGCGUAAAGAGCUCGUAGGCGGUUUGUCGCGUCUGCUGUGAAAACUCGGGGCUUAACUCCGGGCCUGCAGUGGGUACGGGCAGACUAGAGGUAUGCAGGGGAGAACGGAAUUCCUGGUGUAGCGGUGAAAUGCGCAGAUAUCAGGAGGAACACCGGUGGCGAAGGCGGUUCUCUGGGCAUUACCUGACGCUGAGGAGCGAAAGUGUGGGGAGCGAACAGG